CUCUGCUGUUUGAAUUUUGUUUUAAAGUUACUCUGAGUAGGAAACAUAAAAAGGGAUUUGAACCUGACCAGGAUGGCUCAGAGGUUGAGGAUCAGAAGAGCA